AACUCUCAACCCCGCCUUGACUCGCGUCGAGGUUGCUUUGGGUUUGGAUCAUGACCCGUUGCUGGCUGCUCCGGUGGCCUGCUGGGUUGAAAUACAUCAAGCUGAAUCCUAUUCGUGCGGCUUGACCUGUUGUUGUAAGCAUCCAACUUUCAAUGGGAACGCACUGUGGGCAUGAGCUUUACCAAAUGGAUGAACCACUUCGUGGACGUCUUUGUUGACGGACGCCUAGUGCA
rnacentral:misc_RNA from 1 species